AACGAACGCUGGCGGCGUGCCUAACACAUGCAAGUCGAACGUGAUUGGGGAGCUUGCUCCUCAUGAAAGUGGCGCACGGGUGAGUAACGCGUAGAUAAUCUACCUGAUGAUUCGGGAUAACACCUCGAAAGGGGUGCUAAUACGGGAUAAGCCCACGGAGUCUUUGGACACUGCGGGAAAAGGAGGGGACCUUCGGGCAUUCCGUCAUCAGAUGAGUCUGCGUACCAUUAGCUAGUUGGUAGGGUAAGGGCCUACCAAGGCGACGAUGGUUAGCUGGUCUGAGAGGAGGAUCAGACACACUGGAACUGAGACACGGUCCAGACUCCUACGGGAGGCAGCAGUGGGGAAUUUUGCGCAAUGGGGGAAACCCUGACGCAGCAACGCCGCGUGAGUGAUGAAGGCCCUUGGGUCGUAAAGCUCUGACAGAGGGAAAGAAAUGUGGGUGGCUAAUAUCCAUUCCACUUGACGGUACCCUCAAAGGAAGCACCGGCUAACUCCGUGCCAGCAGCCGCCGUAAUAC
rnacentral:rRNA from 1 species